rnacentral:lncRNA from 1 species
GAAGGAAAGUCGCUCAAGCAGUGGACAGAGCGGAGAAAGCGACUUCGGCCUGAGAAAACUCCUGAGCAUGUGCGAAAAAGAAAAGAAGAAAAGAAAAGUAAAGAAAAGAAAAAAGGAAAAAGGGCAAGCUCCUGAGUGGAUCUCUCAGGGAGCCACCAGACAGUGAAUGAAGGAGGGAAGAAAGGAGAGACAGAGAAAAUAUGGGAAGUAUGCAGCUGGCAUCAGAAGCUGGAAGAUAGGAUCUUCCCGGAUCACAGCUCCUGUUCAGAAAGUCUGAGGAUGUCAGACUGAGACUGUUGAGUCUGAGGAUGUCAGACUGAGAUUGUUGAGUCUCAGGAUGUUGCAGGACAGGAUGGAUGAAGAAUGCUAGUCCUGGCAGUUGGGGCCUAAGGCCAGGGCCCUUUUUUAUCACUUUCUUGUGUUGCCUCUCUGCCCAAGAAAAAAUCUGUCUCUUGCAUACAGCUCCUCUAAUACGUGUCCAUUAGAAGGAAGGAGUUUCUUUAAUGAGCUCUAUGGUUUUAUCUUGCUCAUAACAGCUUAGUUUAAUGCCACUGAAACUGUAACAUUUUUUUGUGCCUAAUAUCAACUGACAAAUAUAAAGUUAUUCCUAAUUUAUUAAUUCAAAUGAUAUAUUGCAAAAUAAAAUCUGCUUAAUAUGAAAA